UUUUCUUUUGUUUUAUCUUCUAUUUCCAGUAUUGGGUUAGCCAGGGCAACAAAUGGUGCGACUUCUACAAAAUCUUCAUAUCAAAUAAUCCUUCCAGCAUCAGAAGUCAUGAGCUUGAAAGCAAAGCGUAGCAAUCAGAAGGAUAUAGAAAAACUUCAAGAGGUCAGAGAUAUGCCCAAGCAUUGAAUGAUCAAGAUGAAGGAAGAGGCAUAUGCCACACCUCAGUUUUCCUCAAACUCUAAACAUCAAGUGCCCACUUUGAAAAAGCUGUUGUCAACUUCAGAGGCAGCACCAGUUACAGAAAAUAAAGUUCAAAGUGGACCAGCACCUAGACUGUUGCUUCAGCUUCAGUAAAUCCCAUGAGAUCCAUUAAAGGUACUCCAUCUUCAGUUGCUAUUGGCAAGAGAAAGAGGCAAUCCAUUAAAGGUACUCCAUCGUUAGUUGCUAUUGGCAAGAGAAGAGGCAAGAUGAGAAGCUAAAGGUUAUAUCCAAAGAAGAAGCAGCUACCCUUAAAGCAAGGGAAGUGGCAAAGAAGAGAGUUGAAGAAAGGGAAAAACUAUUGCUUGGCCUCUACAGGCCCUUUUUAAUUUGAAUUCAUCUCGGAACAAGGGGUAUAU